GAUUUCUUACAAACCCAAGACUCAAAUGACAUGAAAGUUUUUUUGUGUAUCUUUUCAAUAUUAUAACUACACCUUUGGAAAGUUUGAGCCAAAAUUCAUUCAAAAAUGCUCAAAAAAAAUGGCUCAAAACAUAACCAUCUAUAAUUCCGUUCACUUACUACCUUAAUUUAUAAGCUCUAACUUCGACUAGCCAUUUCUUCCUCAUUUUAGAUCUGAUUUCAUCAAAUCUUGUACAGUAGUUGAAUUCCUUUAAGUCAACUUUCCAAAUCCAUUUGGCAAUUAUUAAAUACCUUAUUACAACUCUUUAUAUGCUUGAAAGAGUGACAAUAGGUACAAAUUUUACAUCUAGACUUUAAACAGCCAUAACUCUUCCAUUGCAAACUUAUAGUUAACAAUCCUUGUACGAAAAUUGUAUUCCUUCAAACCAGCUUUCCAAAAAUAUCUUUUUUUUUCUAGAAAACCUUCUACAACUUUUUAUAUGCUUAAAAGAGUGACAGUCGGUAAAUAAUUCACACCCUAACUUCAAACAACCUUAACUUCUUUAUACAAAAUUCAAAUAACAAACUUUAUACACCAAAAUUAUAGUCCAAAUCACAAGCUUUCUGAACCUCCCCUC
rnacentral:lncRNA from 1 species